AAAAUCUCUUAAUGUAUAUAAAUUUUCCAGAAAAUUAAGUAUAAAUAAAAGAAAUAAGUAUAAAUUAUGUAUAAAUAUUGAAACAUAAAUAUCAAAUACCCAUGUAAUUUUUCCCUACAAGUUUUGUCAGGAUUUGGAGUUCUGCUGCCUACUGCUUACACCUUUUUGACACUAGGUGCCGCCAGUAGGAGUGUACCUGAGGCGACAGGUGUUGUGCAUCUACUCAUCAGCUGGGAAGCAUAUAGAGGAAGGUUGCCAACACCUCGGCGCCUGAGUGUUUUUGCCUCCGUGGUGUGAAUCUUACCUGAUCUGUUCCAAUCCUCCGUAGUGGCUAAGGCUACUUCCUGAUCUAGUCUGUGCAUGGCAAGCUGAACUCCUUUCCUGACAUUUAUUCUCUCCCUGUAAGGAAGAUUAGACUCGUCGCUCCUGUUGUUCC